rnacentral:rRNA from 1 species
AUAUCAAUAAGCGGAGGAAAAGAAACUAACAAGGAUUCCCUAGUAACUGCGAGUGAAGCGGGAAAAGCUCAAAUUUAAAAUCUGGCAGUCUUUGGCUGUCCGAAUUGUAAUCUAGAGAAGUAUUAUCCGCGCUGGACCGUGUACAAGUCUCUGGAAUGGAGCGUCAUAGAGGGUGAGAAUCCCGUCUUUGACACGGACUGCCAGGGCUUUGUGAUAUGCUCUCGAAGAGUCGAGUUGUUUGGGAAUGCAGCUCAAAAUGGGUGGUAAAUUCCAUCUAAAGCUAAAUAUUGGCGAGAGACCGAUAGCGAACAAGUACCGUGAGGGAAAGAUGAAAAGAACUUUGGAAAGAGAGUUAAACAGUACGUGAAAUUGCUGAAAGGGAAACGCUUGAAGUCAGUCGCGUUGGCCAGGGAUCAACCUUGCUUUAUUGCUUGGCUUACUUUCUGGUCAAUGGGUCAGCAUCAAUUUUGACUGGUGGAAAAAGUUCAAGGGAAUGUGGCAUCUUCGGAUGUGUUAUAGCCUUUGUUCACAUACAUUGGUUGGGAUUGAGGAACUCAGCACGCCGAAAGGCCGGGUUUUAAACCACGUACGUGCUUAGGAUGCUGGCAUAAUGGCUUUAAUCGACCCGUCUUGAAACACGGACCAAGGAGUCUAACAUGCCUGCGAGUGUUUGGGUGAAAAACCCGAGCGCGUAAUGAAAGUGAAAGUUGAGAUCCCUGUCGUGGGGAGCAUUGACGCCCGGAUCUGACCUUUUGUGACGAUUCUGCGGUAGAGCAUGUAUGUUGGGACCCGAAAGAUGGUGAACUAUGCCUGAAUAGGGUGAAGCCAGAGGAAACUCUGGUGGAGGCUCGUAGCGAUUCUGACGUGCAAAUCGAUCGUCAAAUUUGGGUAUAGGGGCGAAAGACUAAUCGAACC